AUUUAGCAACUACAUUAUUGAAAUCUUUACAAUUUUAGUUACAAAAAUUUAGUGAUUAACAAACUCUUAAUUUGAAAUUUUGAAUCUAUUAAUCUACAAACUAAAUUUAUUAAAUUUUAAAUAUCAGUUUCGGAAUUAAAAUUUAAAUAUCAAUUUCAUAUUUACUUAAAAAGUUGAAAUUACAAAGAUAAAUACAUAUAUAUACACAAAUACACACAAUCAUCAUCUCUAUGGGUUCAUGCACUGGACGGGUUCCGCCACCGGCUUCUCCACUGGCUCCGGUUUCUCCGGUACUGUACCACCGGAGUGAUUCCAUCUGAAGCGACGACUGGAUCUGGCUGAUACACACAGACUCUCUGCCAUUGCUCCGAUCUGUUACGACGCAACUACCACCUACACGUCUUCUCCGUCACACCACCAUUUCUCCGUAUCAUCACUGCUACUUCUUCACAGAUCUGUAAAGAAAACAAAAAUCAAUUAGAAAUUGUAUAAUGAGAUGAAGACAAAGAAAGAAGACUAAAAGAAAUGAAAGAAAGAAAAAGAAAAAAAAGUGAUGAGGGGAGAGCACAAAAAAGGAAGAUGAAGAGAAGCCAAAAAAAAAGUUCAAUCUCUGAAACUGACGAUGAGAGAGCAGAGAAGAGGAAGAAAAGAAGUAGAAAAUUUUAAAACUUGAUUAAAUCGCAGCCAUUAGUUUUACUGAUAUCAACGGUGGAUAACUAACAAUGGUCGAUCCUUCCCUUUGUGAAUUAACCAAUCAGAGGCAAUCUUUUAUCAGCCAAAUUAUACUACCAAAGUGCAACUACCUUUAGACAA
rnacentral:lncRNA from 1 species